rnacentral:rRNA from 1 species
UACAGAGGGUGCAAGCGUUGUUCGGAAUUAUUGGGCGUAAAGGGCGCGUAGGCGGUGCCACAAGUCACCUGUGAAAUCUCCGGGCUUAACUCGGAGCCUGCAGGCGAAACUGUGGUGCUGGAGUGCGGGAGAGGAUAGUGGAAUUCCCAGUGUAGUGGUGAAAUACGUAGAGAUUGGGAAGAACACCAGUGGCGAAGGCGGCUAUCUGGACGGUUUCUGACACUAAGACUCGAAAGCGUGAGGAGCAAACAGG